rnacentral:rRNA from 1 species
UACGUAGGGGGCUAGCGUUGUCCGGAUUUAUUGGGCGUAAAGAGCGCGUAGGCGGCCGAGUAAGUCCGACGUGAAAUCUGGAGGCUCAACCUCCAGCGGUCGUUGGAAACUACUCGGCUAGAGUCCGGAAGAGGAGAGUGGAAUUCCUGGUGUAGCGGUGAAAUGCGCAGAUAUCAGGAAGAACACCCGUGGCUAAGGCGGCUCUCUAGUACGGUACUGACGCUGAGACGCGAAAGCGUGGGGAGCGAACAGG